CGACAAGGCGAACAAACAAAAACUGUGUAAAGCUGAAUACAAUUUAAAUCUUCCUGUUUAUGAAAUCGCUUUCAAGGCUUAAGCUGCAUAAGAAAGAAAAAAAGAAAUAUACAUAAUUUUCUGCAAAUAGCUUCAAUAAUUUAGACAGAAGUAAUAUGAGCUCGAAGACAUUUGGGUUUCUAAUUAUUUAAGAUCAAUAAAUUUUAUCCUCAGGCUACCUCGGAAUGGGCAGACAAGCACACAGUAGAUUUCAUCUUCAAUAACAUUUCCCCACAACGAGCAGAGAAUAUUUUCCAUCGAGUGAUUCCGGUAUCUGUAAAUAUGUGUUUCUAGAUCGGUCAUGUCAAAUCGAAAUUUUGUCAUACAAAAAAAUGUAGGUUCUUAUCUAACUCUGAUUGAUGAUACAUAACAAGCAAUGAUGGUUGCUUGAUAUUCUCUACAUGUUUAACACGCUCACUACUGUUCACAUGUUCAUUCCAUCUACAAUAGACGUGGAUCUCAUUGGAGACAUGCAAACAUGCUGUCACUCUGCCACCCACCCUAACCCCGUUUGUAACAAACAAACCCAAACUUACACUGACAUAGACAUAAACACAUGCCCACACUUGGGACUCACUUAACUUUGCCAUUUUCAUCGAAGUUUUCAAAGAAUUAAGUUUUUGUGGGGAAAGGCGACAGUCUUUACUUAUCCUUUUCUAACAUCUUCAACCAGCAUCGUGUACAUCUAGCACGUGACUUUCUCGGGAUGGGUCGGGUACCUUUAAAGUUAAUUGUAGACCAGGUCACUUAGUCUGUGAACAUCAACAGCAUGGAAUAUUUUCAGUGCACAAGGGUGAACUCUUUCACAGCACUGAGCAGCUUUUCCAGUCCGCAGAUUUCUGGUCCAUUCUGUACGAUUGGCAACAUUUAAAAGUCUGAAGAACACAUCAAGGAAUGAUGCUGUAAGUGCGUAGCCUUGACAUCAGGCUGAACAAAGAAUUUUUCAUUUACUUGAGUGAGGGCAACCAUAUUUCUUCAAGCGCACUGUGUUGUCUAGACUCCAGUGCAAUAACAGAUUAUGUCUUCCAUAAUCAAAUUCCCGUUUUCUUUUGUUGAAGUCUUAAAUUCUCCAAGCAGAUACUAAUACAGCUUCAUUUUUCGUCUUUUUCCUGUUGAAAUAUCUCUGGUAUUUUGUAGAAGCGCGGAAGUAUCAUCGAUACUUCACUCAAAAAAAAAAAAAAAACCGCGAAGUAGUGAAUCCGCGAUAUAUGAACCGCGAAGUAGCGAGGGAACACUGUAACUGGGUAAACCUACGGGGCAAAUACGGAUAGAAAGUGCUCGUUUGUCAAGAUGAUUAGUUAGACCUUCACUUCUUUCUCAUCUUCUCUAGAUAUUACGACUUGCGAGAGAGGUAAAAUCACCGCAAAAUAUUAUGUCUUCACUGUUCAGAUUCAAACUUAUGCUGUUGCUGUCAGACACUACAAUACUAUGUCUGGCAGGCUGACUGACACAUCCCCUCCCAGACUUGUGCCUGGGGCAACACACUGCUAGCAGGAACACUGAGUCACAACGUGAGACAGCCGUAGACAGAACGUAGCUCCGAGCACAGACUUUGUCCUUAGUCAACCGGUUGGCGAUGACUCGUCGCGCCCUUCUCUCAAGCUGCUCUCUCUUUUUCUUCUCCCCUCAACCUCUUGUCCUCCCUUUGUAUAUCUCCCGGUAGGGGUAAUGUGCCAUGUUUCCAGGAUGUCCUAUAAACACAGAUGGGACAACACAGACAGCGGUUCACGUGCUCUAGCCCAGAUGUCAACAAAUCACGUGCAGUCCGCAGGUUGCGAGACUCACCAUGACCAGAGCUCGUGCUCACCUGUGUGCAAGCUACGAAAAGACUUCUCGCCAGGUCAAUUCUGUGCAGAGCUGCACGACUGUAAAGCAUCAAACUACACUUUCUAGCAAAGAUAACAGGUUUGGUAAACCAGCUUUUAAAACCAGGUCAGGUCAGCCCAUAAGGUUAUUCCCAUUCCUUCCUUUUCCACCAACCUCACUCCUUGCUUCCCACACCAUAUACUUCAUCAAUUAUCUUCUUUAAUCCCAGACAAAUUCUUUUUCCCUCUUGUCAUCAUUUCAUCAUUUCCAACCUCUUCCCUUCCCACAAACCUUCCAAUAGCCUCCCUAUUUUGCCCUUCUACACAUUUGCUUCACACCAAUUUCCAAACCUUCUCAACUUUUCACCUCUACCUCUCACACUUUGUUACCAUCCAACUCCCUCUCUCUCCUUCCCUUACAAAUCCAACUUUACCCCUUUCUCCACCCCUUUAUUACCUUUUCCUUUCCAUCAAACCUUUCCUAUCUCUUCCUUCCACUUACCACCCCUUCAUUCACCUUCUCUUCCUUCUCAACCCUUACUGCCUUCCAACCUUCCCGACGAGACGGACAAGUGGUGCUCAUGGCAGUUACCGAGUGUGCAACGCUUCACCAUCAGCAUCUGUCUGGUCGCAGACACAGAGCUCGAGGCUGGUAGAUAAGCGUUGGUCCUUGUUAGGCGCUGUUCAGCUCGAGACAGCAGUCCGGCCUAUAGGACGAGAGAGACAUGGUGUGGCACAUGUUA